CAUCCUGUAGUGCUAUGGAUAGUGCAUUUGAUUUCUAAUCAAAAGGUUGUGGGUUCGAAUCCCACCUGGUAUGG